CCGAGUUAUACAACUCAUCAAACCCUGUGAACAUACCUACUGUUGCCUUCGGCGGGAUCAGUACCGCCCGCGUGUAACAACGGGCCGCCCCGCCAGAGGACCCCUAACUCUGUUUUAUAUAACUGUUUCUGAGUAAACCAUCAAAUAAAUAUA
rnacentral:misc_RNA from 1 species